CUGGCACUCAGUAAAUGUUUGUGAAUAAAUUCCUCCUGUCAUUGUCUGAAUUUUCUGCCCAUGCUGUCCUCUUGGCCAAGAGAUCUAAAAGCAAACGAGCUGGGGCUUCUGGAAAGUCUUCCAAGGUCAGUGGAUGCAUGUGUGAUGGAGGCCCAGCAAGAGGUCAGUGUGUUGCCCUGGGGCAAGCCUGCAGGAUGGACCCAGAGGGCUGGGGUGGCCGGCUUCAUCCAGCUCAUUUUUCCCAAGGGAUCUGGCGCUCACAGGCUGCACAUAGAGCCCACGUGUUGUGUUGCGUGAGGACCCCUAAGGAUUUGUUGAGUGGUCCUAGGUGCUCAAGUCACUGUACCUGCAGGGUGGCUUGAGCUGGGCCCACCUGACUGAUUGGCUGGUCAAUAGGUGGCCUGAGAACCAAAACUAGCCUCCAGCACAUUGAGCAACCGGCUUCCUUCCUGCCCCGGGUCAGGAGCUGGGCCAGGGAAAGUGAAGAAACCUGUUUGGGGCCUCGGCAGGGUGGGCGUGGGUGGGGCCCUGCCGGGAAAAGAGGCGCCUAGACCAGUUAGUUUCCUUUGCUCCAGGACCGGAUGCGGAGCCGGGACUCAGGUGGAGGCAGGAGAAAUACGCACCCUGGGUGCACCUAUUCCUAUCAGGCGAAGGCCGCCUUUCCUGGCCUCCCCCACAGGCCCGCCAGCGAUUCGUCCUUACAAGGCUAGCCUCCACGGGCUGCCCUCUGUGUAAAUAAAGCCACAGACUUCCGCCCACAGGUCGCCGCAGGUCCCGCCCGCAGCGCCGGGCCGCGGGGGAGGCGGGAACUGGUGCUACGGCCGCUACGCAGGCCUCGGGAGGCUCGGAGCCCGCCACGCCCCAGCCCUCUCGCAGGGCCGGGGAGCCACGGGGCCAAAAGGAGGAGCAGGUGGAAGAAAUCCAGGCUCAGACCGUCGGAGUCCCCACCCAUGAGCACCCUUCUCCACUGAUCACUCAGAACAUGGUAGGCCCUAGAGAGACAGCAGCCCGAAUCUUCCCAGAAACCCUGCAGGAGAUUCCUUCUUCCCAUUUUAUAGAAGGGAGGCUGAGGCUCGGCACGUUGAAAUGGCUUGACCAAGGUCCCACAGGCAAAAAAAUGGUACAGCAAGAUAUUGUAACCCAAUAUCUGGCUGCAAAACCCAGUCUCUCCCCAACCCACCUAUCGUCACCGAGAUUGUAAAACUUCUAACCGGGAAGAAUCAAAUACAUGCACAACGGGUUACAGGUUAACAGACAGAUGGGAGCGGAAAGGGACAUUCCAGCGCUUCCCUGGGCGUGUCGCACAGGGCAACUCCAACCACAGGCGAAUUUUCCUGGGUGACAGUUAAACUCCUUUUUGCAUGAAAAAAUACAGAUUCUUAUUAAAACAAUAAUCGAUUAGACUAUAAAACUCUCAAAGUUAUUUCGGAUCAAAAUUAUUUUCGGCUGUUUCCACACCUUUUUUUCUCGAUUGUGCAGAAAUUCUUCACACCGUCUGCACAGAUGGGCAAACUGAGACCCGGACGAGUCCCAUUGAGAGAGAGAGGCAGAGCCGGGGUUGGGAGAAGACUGAGAUUUCUGGGAUCCGGCUUGGGGUGUUUCCGCUGGGUGGGGGCGCCGGUUUGCGAAGAGCUUUCCUCGGACAGCUACUGCUGAUUUUUGUCGCUCAGCCAGCCAAGUGGGGGCGAUUCUGAGUAAUCGCAGGCAAUCAGCGCGGCUGGGGUUAAAAGCGAAAGGGACUCGCGGGCGAACGGCCGGGGAGGGCGGCGGGCACAGAGCCCAGACGCCGGCAAAGGCGGGGCGCCGCCGGGGUUCCCUCGGUGCGAGCGCGCGCGGCACUUCCUGCUUUUGCUCCUCCCUGCGGUCCUGCCGGCCGUUGUAAACUGGCGCUGCGGGCCACACCCGUGUUCCAGGCCCGCUAACCCACCGGCGGCCCCAGAGCCCCAGGCGGCCCCAGAGACCCAGCCUCAAUCCUCAGUCCUCGUACAGUCCUCAGGUCCAAGUUCUGGCCAUAGGAACGCCAGCCAGAUCUGCAGCUCAGCUAGCUGAAUUUCAGGUUCCAGAGACCUGGCCCUUUUCUUCCAUGUAGGGGACAGUCAGGUUCUCUGGCCUGGGUUUUCUAAAAGUACCCAGAGUUGAACUACCUUC
rnacentral:lncRNA from 10 species